AACUUCCCCCACUCGAUUCUUCUGAGUUUCUUUUUCUUAACACAGCCAUUAAACUUGAUUAGCGUAUUUAAUCAACUUCAUCACGUAAAUCUUUAAUUUUCUCUAAAACCCCAAUUUUUACUGAAACUUGAACCCAUUUCGAUUCCGAUUCCAAUUCCAAUUUCUAAACAAAGAUUUAGCGGUGAAAGUGGUGGUGGGUUGAUGCCAAAGACGAACAUAGGGAAGAUUUCAUCAUCAUCUAGAUCUGGACUAGAAAUCUUUCGUAAGGUGAAUAAACCCAGGUGGACGAGAGAUAGAGAUAGAUUGAAGAGGAGUAGAGGAGGAUUGUAUUUGAUUAGAUAUUUAAGAGGAGAAGAGGAGGAUUGUACAAGAGUUAUCGAACUAGACAGAGUGGGAGGUGUUGCAGGAGUUGAUGGUGUAUGGCAGGAUUAGCAGGUGUUGUAAGAGUGGUAUGACUAGUAGGAGUUGUUGGUGUAUCUACGUCACCGUCUUUGACCGCUAAUUUCAUUUCACCAGCACAAUGAUUUCCUUCUGGACUUUAGAAAUACAUGGUUCCAGCUACUUAAGGGACUGUGCUACUUCAACCACUGCACUCCUUGCAUUACGGAUUGCGUCAUGGCAGAGCUUGUGAAAUUGGGUCAGAAGUACCAAAAACAAGAUAUAUGCAUUAUUGACGAGAGAGCUGCACUGUCAUGGUCCAGGGUCGUCCUCGAGGUGAUAAACUUUUGGUAAUCUGCACUGUAAUGUCAACUUUGUUCAUCUGGCUCGGAAUAGUCAGCUUGUAUUGGUCUAUCUUGGCUGCAUGUGUUGUGACUUGCAGUAGUGGAGCUUGGAUCUUUGAAAGGUCGUCAUCCUUUACUGGAAGAUGUAAAGAAGAAGGCAGUUGCACUUGGACAUGUUAAUUUUAGUACACCACCAAAUGAUGAAAAUUAUGAAGUCCUUAUAGAUGAUAAAACAGAUAGGAAUAUGGAACUAUGUGUGGGAGAUGGAAAACUUGGAUAUAUUGAUCCCAGUGAGACGAUUGAAUGGCCAAAGCAAUACGUAACUCGUGCACUUGGAUGUUAAAUCGUAAUGUUUUAAUUUAUUUUUAUCGUUUUUUCUUCUUUGUUGUUAUGAACAUGAAGUAGCUUUUGUUGUUGAAUUUAAUUGUUGAGUUGUUAAAUGAAUUAAAAGUUAAUUUUAAUAGAAUGGGUUACAUUUGCUUACAA